CACAGGGAAAGGGACAUUCAAAACAGGAACAUUCACAUUACAAAUGUUAUCACUGCGGAGCUGCUACACAUGUUGCAACUGCAUGCAGAUUCAAGGAUGCCAAGUGUCAUGCUUGUGGUAAAAUGGGUCACCUACAAAAAGUGUGUAAAUCCACAGCAGAUAGAGGCAGUAAUCGCUUGAGAGACAGAGCAAAGAAUACCUUUAGAGUACAAAC